GCCUCCUUGGCACAGCGGCGACUGCAACGGUUUUGUAAUCCGUCUUCAUUUGAACGCGUCGGUUCGAGUCCGACAGGAGGCU
rnacentral:tRNA from 1 species